CUAUCAGCUGGUUAUUGGCUCUCAGAGUGUUGGUAUAAAUUAGCAGAGCUGUCAGCAGCGUCUCCAGACAGAUUAUCACCGGUGGAAGGUGCCGUCGCCGUCCCUGCAGGAGGAGGUCUGAACCGGGCCGAAGAUGUCCAGCGAGAAGAGUCCAGAGGUGUCGGGAUGCGACGCCUCCAUCAUGAAGAACGUCUGGGAGAUCCGAGUGAGGGAGCAAGGCCAGAGGAUGCGUCUGGAGCAGGAACGUCUGGAGAAGAGCGCCCUGCCCACCAUCAACAAGGACUGGGCGGAUCGAAUGACUGCCAAGAUGGGAAAAUAUAAAAGAGUGGAGAGGAAAGCUAAGCCGUCCGAUGGCCA